AGCGAACGCUGGCGGCAGGCCUAACACAUGCAAGUCGAACGAAGUCUUCGGACUUAGUGGCGGACGGGUGAGUAACACGUGGGAACGUGCCCUUAGGUUCGGAAUAACUCAGGGAAACUUGUGCUAAUACCGAAUGUGCCCUUCGGGGGAAAGAUUUAUCGCCUUUAGAGCGGCCCGCGUCUGAUUAGCUAGUUGGUGAGGUAAAGGCUCACCAAGGCGACGAUCAGUAGCUGGUCUGAGAGGAUGAUCAGCCACAUUGGGACUGAGACACGGCCCAAACUCCUACGGGAGGCAGCAGUGGGGAAUCUUGCGCAAUGGGCGAAAGCCUGACGCAGCCAUGCCGCGUGAAUGAUGAAGGUCUUAGGAUUGUAGAAUUCUUUCACCGGGGACGAUAAUGACGGUACCCGGAGAAGAAGCCCCGGCUAACUUCGUGCCAGCAGCCGCAGUAACAC
rnacentral:rRNA from 1 species